GACGUAGGAGGCGAGCGUUGUCCGGAUUCAUUGGGCGUAAAGAGCGCGCAGGCGGCUUGGUAAGUCGGAUGUGAAAACCCGAGGCUCAACCUCGGGCGUGCAUCUGAAACUGCUCGGCUAGAGGUAGGUAGGGGAGAUCGGAAUUCCUGGUGUAGCGGUGAAAUGCGCAGAUAUCAGGAGGAACACCGGUGGCGAAGGCGGAUCUCUGGGCCUUACCUGACGCUCAGGCGCGAAAGCUAGGGGAGCGAACUGG
rnacentral:rRNA from 1 species